rnacentral:lncRNA from 1 species
AUUUGUGUUUACAGUGUAUUUGCGCAGAGGGAAAGACAAUUUUGUCAAAUAGAAUUCUUUAUCAACUGAUGAUCUUCCUGGUCCCUCUGCAGUCAGGCUUAGGAGACGCAAAGACAAGUCCCGACAUUUCUGCCACCUCCUGCUCAGGCGCUUCCCCCCGCCCCCCGUUCUGGCGCGUUUUACAGAGAAGGGGCUCUGCAGCACUUGGAAGUCCCCGGGAUGGAGCGAGCUGAAUGGGAUAACUGUCAGGAAGCACUUUUAUCCCUUUCCGUUUGGGACUUUGGACACCACGCAAGGGCUCCGGACCAGAAGAGACCGGCGGGACAUAUAGACCAAAUGCAAUUGACUUCGAGCAGAGAGAAAUAGAGCUUUCCAAGACCCUAAAUUCCAGCCCCGCCCCGUUCCGAGUUUUUUUGCCGCGCUUCCGCCGUUUGCUCCGCCCAACUCUGCCCUAGCUCCACCUCCUCCCGCCGCGAUUGGUUGCGCACCCAAAAUCCCGCCUCCAGCUAGAUAAGUCCCGCUGAUUAAAAAAAAAAAGUCUCCAAGCUCCUCCCCAAUUGCGUGAGGCCCCGCCCUCCCGCGCAGCUUUGCUGAGCACAAGUCACUCCUCAGUCCCCCUAAGCUCAUCCCGUGUUUCCUUGGCCCUGAGACCCGAUCCUCCGGCUCCGCCUCCUCCGGCUUGGUUUUCCUUUGUUACAGUCCGCUAGGCUUCGCUAGGGGUCUCCGGGCCCAGCUCCUCCCACAGUCCCUAUCGCUGCUCGCGCAGCUAAUGCCCCGGGGGUCUCAGGCAGACAGAGAAGGGCCACGGAGGGGGCUCACACAGGGGUAGAGGGCGCGGCGGGGGGUGGGGAAGAGAGGGAACCGGGGCCGUAAACCUUGGGGAAGGUCCCCUGAUGGAGAGACCCAGACCACAGACCCGAUCUAGCAAUCUUUCUAUCCUCCUUAAGCAGGCGCCGCCGCCAUUUUGCGACAGAUUGAGCACGGGGUCCCGCAGCCGACCUCAGGGGGGUGCUCGGGUGUAG